CCUACGGGUGGCAGCAGUGAGGAAGAUUGGUCAAUGGGCGCGAGCCUGAACCAGCCAAGUAGCGUGAAGGAUGACUGCCCUACGGGUUGUAAACUUCUUUUAUAAAGGAAUAAAGUGAGGCACGUGUGCCUUUAUGUAUGUACUGUAGGAAUAAGGAUCGGCUAACUCCGUGCCAGCAUCCUCGGUAAUACGGAGGAUCCGAGCGUUAUCCGGAUUUAUUGGGUUUAAAGGGAGCGUAGAUGGGUUUUUAAGUCAGUUGUGAAAGUUUGCGGCUCAACCGUCAAAUUGCAAUUGAUACUGGCAGUCUUGAGUACAGUUGAGGUAGGCGGAAUUCGUGGUGUAGCGGUGAAAUGCUUAGAUAUCACGCAGAACUCCGAUUGCGAAGGCAGCUUACUAAACUGCCACUGACAUUGAUGCUCGAAAGUGUGGGUAUCAAACAGGAUUAGAUACCCUAGUAGUC
rnacentral:rRNA from 1 species